rnacentral:rRNA from 1 species
AGCGAACGCUGGCGGCAGGCUUAACACAUGCAAGUCGAACGGGCACUUCGGUGCUAGUGGCAGACGGGUGAGUAACGCGUGGGAACGUGCCUUUCGGUUCGGAAUAAUCCAGGGAAACUUGGACUAAUACCGGAUACGCCCUUCGGGGAAAGAUUUAUCGCCGAAAGAUCGGCCCGCGUCUGAUUAGCUAGUUGGUGAGGUAAAGGCUCACCAAGGCGACGAUCAGUAGCUGGUCUGAGAGGAUGAUCAGCCACAUUGGGACUGAGACACGGCCCAGACUCCUACGGGAGGCAGCAGUGGGGAAUAUUGGACAAUGGGCGCAAGCUUGAUCCAGCCAUGCCGCGUGAGUGAUGAAGGCCUUAGGGUUGUAAAGCUCUUUUGUCCGGGAAGAUAAUGACUGUACCGGAAGAAUAAGCCCCGGCUAACUUCGUGCCAGCAGCCGCGGUAA